AUAUUUGGGUCAGAUGGUUUCUAGUGGUGCCCGUACAGCUGUAUAAUCCUACUGGAGUUGGAGAAUCUAUGAAACUCCUUAUUAAAUAUAACCUCUGGUUUAAACUCUCAUUCCUUACUUGGUCAGCCUGUCAAUCCCCCUCCCUGCAUCAAAGCUUUAGUAACUUUGUUAACUCUGUUAGCUGCCUGAGUUGGUCUGGUUUAGCUGUCUAGUUUAGCUGUCUAGCUGGUUUAGCUGUGUAUGAAUGUUAUGAGAUGGUUGUAUGAAUGUUAGGAGAUGGUUGUAUGGAUGUUAUGAGAAGGUUGUAUGAAUGUUAGGAGAUGGUUGUAUGGAUGUUAUGAGAAGGUUGUAUGAAUGUUAGGAGAAGGUUGUAUGAAUGUUAGGAGAAGGUUGUAUGGAUGUUAUGAGAAGGUUGUAUGAAUGUUAGGAGAUGGUUGUAUGAAUGUUAUGAGAUGGUUGUAUGAAUGUUAGGAGAUGGUUGUAUGGAUGUUAUGAGAAGGUUGUAUGAAUGUUAGGAGAAGGUUGUAUGAAUGUUAGGAGAAGGUUGUAUGGAUGUUAUGAGAAGGUUGUAUGGAUGUUAUGAGAAGGUUGUAUGAAUGUUAAGAGAAGGUUGUAUGGAUGUUAUGAGAAGGUUGUAUGAAUGUUAGGAGAUGGUUGAAUGAAUGUUCAGUGAUGGUUGUAUGGAUGUUAUGAGGGGCCUCCCGAGUGGUGGUCUAAGGCUGUGCCACUAGAGAUCCUGGUUUGAGUCCAGGCUCUAUCGCAGCGACCGGGAGACCCAUGAGAUGGCGCACAAUUGGCCCAGUGUCGUCCAGGUUAGGGGAGUGCUCUUGUCCCAUUCCACACUAGCUACUCCUGUGGUGUACUCGCCAGGUGUACGGUGUUUGCUCCCACACAUUGGUGUGGAUGGCUUCCGGCUUAAGCGGGCAUUGUGUCAAGAAGCAGUGCGGCUUGGCUGGGUUGUAUUUCGGAGGACGCACGGCUCUCGACCUUCGACCUCGAGUCCGUAAGGGAGUUGCAGCGAUGGGACAAGACUGUAACUAUCAGUUGGAUACCACGAAAUUGGGGAGAAAAAGGGGUAAAAAUUAAAAGUAAAUUAUGUUCUGUGAUGGUUGUAUGAAUGUUCUGUGAUGGUUGUAUGAAUGUUCUGUGAUGGUUGUGUGAAUGUUCUGUGAUGGUUGUAUGAAUGUUCUGUGAUGGUUGUAUGAAUGUUCUGUGAUGGUUGUGUGAAUGUUCUGUGAUGGUUGUAUGAAUGUUCUGUGAUGGUUGUAUGAAUGUUCUGUGAUGGUUGUAUGAAUGUUCUGUGAUGGUUGUGUGAAUGUUCUGUGAUGGUUGUAUGAAUGUUCUGUGAUGGUUGUAUGAAUGUUCUGUGAUGGUUGUAUGAAUGUUCUGUGAUGGUUGUAUGAAUGUUCUGUGAUGGUUGUGUGGAGGUUCCUCCCAAUACAUUGAGGUUGACAGGUCUUCUCAGUGUUCUCUGACCCUGAGGUAGUGUUAGGGGUCGGGGUUAGGUAGGGUUACUGAGGUAGUGUUAGGGGUCGGGGUUAGGUAGGGUUAGGGGUCGGGGUUAGGUAGGGUUAGUGAGGUAGUGUUAGGGGUCAGGGUUAGGUAGGGUUACUGAGGUAGUGAUAGGGGUCAGGGUUAGGUAGGGUUAGUGAGGUAGGGUUAGGGGUCGGGGUUAGGUAGGGUUACUGAGGUAGGGUUAGGGGUCAGGGUUAGGUAGGGUUACUGAGGUAGUGUUAGGGGUCGGGGUUAGGUAGGGUUACUGAGGUAGGGUUAGGGGUCAGGGUUAGGUAGGGUUACUGAGGUAGUGUUAGGGGUCAGGGUUAGGUAGGGUUAGUGAGAUGGGGUCAGGGUUAGGUAGGGUUAGGGGUCGGGGUUAGGUAGGGUUACUGAGGUAGGGUUAGGGGUCAGGGUUAGGUAGGGUUACUGAGGUAGUGAUAGGGGUCAGGGUUAGGUAGGGUUAGUGAGAUGGGGUCAGGGUUAGGUAGGGUUAGGGGUCGGGGUUAGGUAGGGUUACUGAGGUAGGGUUAGGGGUCAGGGUUAGGUAGGGUUACUGAGGUAGUGUUAGGGGUCAGGGUUAGGUAGGGUUAGUGAGGUAGGGUUAGGGGUCAGGAUUAGGUAGGUUAGUGAGGUGGGGUCAGGGUUAGGUAGGGUUGGGGGUCAGGGUUAGGUAGGGUUACUGAGGUAGGGUUACGGGUCAGGGUUAGGUAGGGUUAGUGAAGUAGGGUUAGGGGUCUGGGUUGUUUGUUUGGUAGGGUUAGUUUGAUAGACAGGUGUCAGAUUUAGUGUCUGAGCCUGAACCAACUGACCUCUAAACUCUAACCUCUGACCUGGAAGUCUUAUGAAUAGCUCUCUGGCAUUGCUGUCUGACCUCGUACCCGACAGGAAGUCUGAGGUCUUACGCAAAACACAACUCUGUCCUCCAGACU